rnacentral:rRNA from 1 species
AUUGAACGCUGGCGGCAGGCCUAACACAUGCAAGUCGAGCGAGCGGCGGACGGGUGAGUAAUGUCUGGGAAACUGCCUGAUGGAGGGGGAUAACUACUGGAAACGGUAGCUAAUACCGCAUACCAUCAAAUGUUCCCAGAUGGGAUUAGCUAGUAGGUGGGGUAAUGGCUCACCUAGGCGACGAUCCCUAGCUGGUCUGCGAGGGUGACCAGCCACACGGGAACUGAGACCCGGUCCAGACUCCUACGGGAGGCAGCAGUGGGGAAUAUUGCACAAUGGGCGCAAGCCUGAUGCAGCCAUGCCGCGGGUGUGAAGAAGGCCUUCGGGUUGUAAAGCACUUUCAGCGAGGAGGCGGUACUCGCAGAAGAAGCACCGGCUAACUCCGUGACAGCAGCCGCGGUAAUUC